UACGUAGGGUGCAAGCGUUGUCCGGAAUUAUUGGGCGUAAAGAGCUCGUAGGUGGUUUGUCGCGUUGUUCGUGAAAACUCACAGCUUAACUGUGGGCGUGCGGGCGAUACGGGCAGACUUGAGUACUGCAGGGGGAGACUGGAAUUCCUGGUGUAGCGGUGGAAUGCGCAGAUAUCAGGAGGAACACCGGUGGCGAAGGCGGGUCUCUGGGCAGUAACUGACGCUGAGGAGCGAAAGCGUGGGGAGCGAACAGG
rnacentral:rRNA from 1 species